rnacentral:rRNA from 1 species
UACGAAGGGGGCUAGCGUUGCUCGGAAUUACUGGGCGUAAAGGGCGCGUAGGCGGCUUGGUAAGUCGGGGGUGAAAGUCAGCGGCUCAACCGCUGGACUGCCUUCGAGACUGCCUGGCUUGAGCAUGGUAGAGGCUGGCGGAAUUCCCGGUGUAGCGGUGGAAUGCGUAGAGAUCGGGAAGAACAUCGGUGGCGAAGGCGGCCAGCUGGGCCAUUGCUGACGCUGAGGCACGAAAGCGUGGGGAGCAAACAGG